GUAGGUGAACCUGCGGAAGGAUCAAUAUGGAGGGAGUGAGAGUUAUUUGUUGAAAAAGGAUUUUACGCGAUAUUUAAGCAAUCUACACACACACACACAACUCAUAACAAUGGAUCUCUGGGCUCUU
rnacentral:misc_RNA from 1 species